CUCGGGCUAGCUUCCCUGCUGAACCCCACCUUCUCCACUUCCACACACAGCCGGAAGCACGCAAACGCGGCGGCGGGGCGGGGCCAAGGGGCGCCAUUGUGAAGACCGGAAGCAGAGCCGAGGAUUGGUUGGCCGGGAAUAAACAAUAAAGGUGUGUGCCCACAGUUCUCUCUUCCUCUGCCUUGUGACCCACCUGGUAAUUACCCUGAGUGGCCCUGGGUGACAUGCUGUGCACAGCUCCCUCCACUCCUGGAAGAGUUGAGCCCGUAAUGUUGACUUUGGAAGUUUCUGACCUACAACAGAGAAAGAGAGAAGGCUCCUUGAAGAGUGGUUUGGUGUGUGGGUGAAAAUGAGGCAGAGAACGGAAAAGAAAGGAUGAGACAGACUCCUUGUAUGAAACCACGGAAGAAGGAACUAAAACUUUACUGCAUCACAGCCUCAAAUCAGGAACCACUAAGACUUCCUAAACUCUUGCUCUUGUCAUGGCAUCCCCAGGAGGCAGGCCACAUGGGGUGCUAUAGAGAAGCCAGGGUCAUGACUUCAUGCUGUGGCAGCCUGGUUAAGCUGAAGGACAUUGCCCAGAAUUCCCUUUGCUAUGUAUUUCUAGUUGGGAGAUUGGGGAAACGGAGUGGGGCAGGGACUACAAAAAAGCUGUGAAUUUGGGGAACCUGAGAUUUGGAACCUGCUGUCCCUUAUCCUCCUUUGUGGGCAGCAUGACCAGCCUUGCAACUGCUCCAGCUCCCCAUGGAUCCUCCUUUAACUUCCCCACUCCCUGGGCCACGUGUGCAUUUAGCACAGCAAGGAAGGGUCUCCUACUGGAGGGGCCCAUACUACCAAGGUCAGAGGCAAGGAGAGCAAGGAGAACAAGAACUAGGGUGAAUCUCAGUUGCAGUUCUGACUUGUGAGUUCCAUCUUGUUCUUGCUGUCUCUCACUUUAUGUCCAUCUUCCCUUCCCAAGAGACUGCUUACCCAGCUCACACAGUGGCAUAACUAUCAAAUCCCUGUAACAAAUUAUAAAUACACAUCUGGUGGGGCUAUGCCUUUCUUUGAACCUUGACAGAUAGAGAAAGCCACUCAAAAUUUUAGUUGUACUUAACAGAAUGAAUAGGUACUUGGCAACAUGGCUGAGUUACCAUAUGUGGUAACUGCUUACCAUAUGUGGGAGAGAUAAAUCACCUGAUCUGACGAGCAGUUAACUCUGCUGCCUUCCUAACGUGGCAGCAGACACAUUUUUUUCAAAAACUGAUGCAGUGUACAUUUUCUUAAAAUGAUAUAUUCUGGUAUUGUGAUUAAAUGUGCAGUAUAUAUCUACAUACAUUAAAGAGUACAUCCACAAGACUGUACCUAAAGUGUUAACAAUGGUUUCUCCAAGGCUUCUUCCCCUUUGAGUAUUGGGACAACCUCCACUGCAAUUAUUCCAGUCCUUUGUUCCUUCAUGGUUUCUCCUUUAAAAAAACAAUACAAAAUUAAGCUAAGUAAAUCUGAAGUUCUAAUUUGCUUUAUCAAAUGAUUCAUAAAUCAGGCAGCAUUUCAUCUAGUAAGCAAAGAUAUUCUGAGGAGUUAUACAAAAACAGGAGGCUUUUAUAAAAAGGAGGAUUUGGGUAAAGAAGUCAUUAGCAGAGGAAAAAUGAAAGCUCAUCCUAGUAAAGUUAAGAGCACAGGGUGACCGCAGCUUCUCAUUGAGCUGCAGCAUACUCCACUGGCCAUACUUGUUGCUGGGCAAGAAGAAAACCUUCCUUCCUUCCACCAUGUUGUAAAGUAGGGACAACUCCCCCCUUGGAGAUUCAAGGCACAGCUCUUCUUGUUUGGGGAAAUUGAAAAUGACUGGUAGGGCAUAGGAACUCCCCGUUAUGAGCCUUUCCUCUCCAGUCUUAGGUGAUGUUUCUUUUAUUAAUUUCACACUCCAAAUUUAGGGGCCUCAUUGCAGCAAACUCAUUUGCAGAUCAUGGUCUCCUGGGAGCCCUCCUGAAACAAGUCUUUUAUCUUUGUUGUUACAGGUCUUAACUGCCCAUUAUCAAAGUUAGUUUCACUGGCUACCACCAGAAUCUCAGGAGCAAUCUCCUUGUUAGAGAAAAAGUUCUUACACUCUCCUGAAUGACCAUUUCAUAGGUACUGGGGGAAAAAGUGCAGAUAGUCUUUAUUAGUCUUCUUCUUAGCCAUCUACUUCAUUACAUUUAAUGCCUAUGACUCACCAAUAUAUCUAUACUUCCAUAUAUACACUCUUAGUGGCAAUAAAAAAAAGUGGCAGAAAAAAAUAGUAGCUGAAUAAUAUUCCAUUGUGUAUAUGUGCCACAUCUUCUUUAUCCAUUCAUCUACUGAUGGACACUUAGGUUGCUUCCAUUUCUUGGCUAUAUAAAUAGUGCUGUGAUAAACACAGAGGCGCAUUUGUCUUUUUCAAACUUGGCUCCUGCAUUCUUAGGGUAAAUUCCUAGGAGUGGAAUUCCUGGGUCAAAUGGUAUUUCUAUUUUUGAGUUUUUUGAGGAACGUCCAUACUGCUUUCCACAAUGGUUGAACUAAUUUACAUUCCCAUCAGCAGUGUAGGAGGGUUCCCCUUUCUCCACAACCUCGACAACAUUUGUUGUUGUUUGUCUUUUGGAUGUUGGCCAUCCUAAGUGGUGUGAGGUGAUAUCUCAUUGUAGUUUUAAUUUGCAUUUCUCUGAUGAUUAGUGAUGUGGAGCCUCUUUUCAUGUGCCUGUUGGCCAUCUGAAUUUCUUCUUUGAAGAAGUGUCUGUUCAGUUCCUCUGCCCAUUUUUUAAUUGGCUUAUUUGCUUUUUGUUUGUUGAGGUGCAUGAACUCUUUAUAUAAUUUGGAUGUCAACCCCUUAUCGGAUAUGUCAUUUAUGAAUAUAUUCUCCCAUACUAUAGGAUGACUUUUUGUUCUACUGAUGGUGUCCUUUGCUGUACAGAAGCUUUUUAGUUUGAUAUAAUCCCACUUGUUCAUUUUUGCUUUUGUUUCCCUUGCUUGGGGAGAUAAUGUUCAUGAAGAAGUUGCCCAUGUUUAUGUCCAAGAGAUUUUUGCCUAUGUUUUUUUCUAAGAGUUUUAUGGUUUCAUGACUUACAUUCAGGUCUUUGAUCCAUUUCGAAUUUACUUUUGUGUAUGGGGUUAGACAAUGAUGCAGUUUCAUUCUCUUACAUGUAGCUGUCCAGUUUUGCCAACACCAGCUAUUGAAGAGGCUGUCAUUUUCCCAUUGUAUAUCCAUGGCUCCUUUAUCGUAUAUUAAUUGACCAUGUAUGCUUGGGUUUAUAUCUGGGCUCUCUAGUCUGUUCCAUUGGUCUAUGGGUCUGUUCUUGUGCCAGUACCAAAUUGUUUUGAUUACUGUGGCUUUGUAGUAGAGCUUGAAGUCAGGGAGUUUAAUUCUCCUGCUUUAUUCUUCCUUCUCAGGAUUGCUUUGGCUAUUCGGGGUCUUUUGUGGUUCCAUAUGAAUUUUAGAACUAUUUGCUCUAGUUCAUAGACUGGCUAACAUUCUAGACAUUAUUGCAAAAUAAUGAAGCUCCUAAGUAAACUUGACUCAGAAACACACAGAACAUUGUGUAGAACCCCAUCUCUUUCCUCACCUUACAUCCCAGCUCCACUCCACCUCCUCUCUCCCUGGAAAUAAGGUGAUAGUCCUCUUAAGUGAUUAUGUUGUACCUUUUUUAAGAUACUUUAACAUACAUCUCCACCCUCUCAAAACUAGACACCUGAAAUAUCCUAAGAGAUUUCCGACUAUAAGAAGGUGGGUAUGCUUCCAUAAAGUAUUUUAUUUUACUAUUUAAUUACACCAAUAAGAUCUAAAAUUCAUUUUAGAAUUUACUAUGGAAAAUUUAAGUUCCAUUUCUGCUACUACUCCUACUCGCAUGACUGGCAGGUGUUUUCCUAAUAAUGUGUGGAACAAGAACUUUAUGUGACCCUUACUUCCCACAGUGUUGCAUUUGGGGGAGGUAUAACUGAACCUGCUCCUGAAGGGUGCAGACUCUGUGAGAACAAAGAAAGAGGCUAACAAGUCCAGCUUGAAUUCCAUAGAGGUUUAUUGGUGGAAUCUUAACCUACAGAAGCUUGUCCUGGGUAGCCACAAGAUACUUGGAUCUCUGCACAGCUUUGAAUUUAGGUAGGCUAAUUUAUAGAGGCAAGGAGAAAGGGUCUACAGGCAAGACAACCACUAGUGUACACAAUGGAGCAGGGGCUGACAUUUGAAUAUUAUCGUUGGAAUUUAGAGCAACAAAUCCUGCCCUAGGGAACAAUGUUACUUGUUCCAAGUUAGAUAUUAUCUAAAGAAUACUUGUAAAGGAAGGGGAGUGUAAAGGUGAUCUAUCAGUUAACAUGUCAGGUUUGACAAGAGGGCAGGGCAUUCAUUACUCUUGCUCAGAGAUACACAGUAACUCUGAGAGAUGGAUAGUUUUAUCUCAGUUUUACAGAUGAGGGACUUGUCCAAGGUGUAGAAAUAUGUUAAGGAUGCUUAACUCAAAUUGGAGUCAGGAAAUCAUGGAAGAAGGGCUUUCAUGCACAUAGUACUCAUUGCAGCUUGCACGACCCAGCUAGAAGAAGGAAGAUUCCCUAUUGGCCUGGUACUAACAAGCUUUAGGUGCCCAGCAAGCUGUUGUUGCCUAUAGCCAAUAAGAAGCCACCACCACUUCAAACCCUCAUUUCCUUCUAAUGACAUUUUGUCCCAACGACCCCUCCCAAUAUUCUCCUUUCCUCUAUAAAGGGACUCUCCUCCUUGUUCUCCACACUUGCCUAUGGUUUGCCUAAGUUUGCCUGUUCCAAAUUGCAAUUCCUCUGCUGCUCCAGAGUAGACUCAAUUUUGCUGGCUGAGUCUUUUUCUGAAUCUCCUUACCUUUUUCUUUUAAAAUGUUGAAAAGAUUAUCCAUAUAGGAAGUGGCAGAUUCUGGAUUUAAACCAUUCUAUCAAACCCUCAAGUCUAUGGUCUUUUAAAUUCUCUACUAGAUUGCCAGGCUUUGCUUUGUAAGAUUCCUACAUGCGCUAACUUCACUUUCCAAGGUUUACAUAACAUCAGUCCCCACAAUAUUGUUCAAAUUUCAGUUAAUAUGGCAUAUUAACUGUAACUGCAUAAAAUAUAAACUUUGCUGCUAGCUCUUCAGGCCAGAAAUCACUACUUAAUAAAAAACAUGCUUCAUGAUCAGUAAGCCAUGUAAGUUCUCUGAAAGUCUUUUGGUGAUCACUGCUAGUCUGUUUCAGUCACACAUGGACAGAAAAGCAUGUGAUUGUGUUGUUUCUUGUCUCCCAAAAUAAACACAUUGACAUUUUACAGAAUUGGAUAAUCAAAAGAGGGAAUUGACCAACAAAAAAUGACAGUGCAGCAAAUAAAAAAAAAUGAUCAUGAUGGGAGUGAAAUUAGAAUUAAGAGUAAAUGGAAUUACAGGAGAAAUAGCUGGGGUAAUGUUGAUACUGCCACUAUUUGAGAGACUCUAUGUCUGCAGCUAGAGGGACCUAUUGAAGGGAAACUUAUUAAACAUAAAUGAGGAAAGUGUUUGUGAUGAAAAGGAUGAAGAUGUCCUCAAGGAAAUGGUGCUGACAGAAAAGUUCCGAUUAAAGGAUUCUUGGAGAUAUUCAUGACAUAAAAAGCGCAAAGGAUAAACUAUUGGAAGCUGAUCCAAAUUUAUGAAGAAGUAUGACAAUUACCAAGGCAUUGAAAAGAUGGUCACGUUCUCAUGAGCUGUACAUAGCAUUGUUCAGACUAUUUUUGAUUUUUACAAACAAAACACCUUAGUCAUCAAUGUUUCUAAUGAGUUAAGAAUACAAAACAAAUAUUAGUUUCAGUAUUGUUUUCAUACAGGCAUACCUUAGAGAGACUGUGGGUUUGGUUCCAGACCACCACAAUAAAGUGAGCAUAACAAUAAAGUGAGUCAAAUUAAUUUUUGACUUCCCAGUGCAUACAAAAGUUAUAUUUACACUACAUGUUAGUCUAUUAAGUGUGCAAUAGCAUUAUUUCUUAAAAAAAUGCACAUAUCUUAAUUUUAAAUACUUCAUUGAUAAAAAAUGCUAACCAUUAUCUGAGCUUUCAGCAAGUUGUAAUCACUGAUCAACUUACCAUGACAAAUAUAAUAAUAAUGAAAAAGUUUGAAAUACUGCAAGAACUACCAAAAUGUGUCACAGAGACACAAAGUGGGCAAAUGCUUUCAGAAAAAUGGCACUGAUAAGUUGCUAGACUCAAGGUUGCCACAAAUUCUCAAUUUGUAAAAAAACCCAGUAUCUGUGAAGCACAAUAAAGUGAAUAGCAAUAAAAUAACGUAAGCCUAUACCCUUAGAACUGACAGUGUUUUUAAUGCUUCAGCAAAAAAAUUUUAAAGGUCACAGAACAAUCAUAAUUUUUCUCUAUUGAGUGUUAAGAUCAUUUUGCACAGCAUCAGCUUGCACGGUCUCUCUAACAGUCCCACACCACUCUUCAAAGUGAGGAACAUGCACACACAUACAACAAGGAAUCAGUUUGCCUUAAGAUCAUUAGAAUGGGAUCCAAACACUCUGGGUUUCUAUGCAGCCAUUUACUGUUUGGGUAAUUUUGGAAAAGUCGCUUGCCUUCUGUGGCCUGAGUCUCCUCAACAGUGAAAUUAAGGGAUCUUAACUGUGACUCUUUCUCUUCCGUCCUGGCCGGUAUGACUUCUGAUGACAACCUACAGUAAAUGCCUUCCUUUUGUCCUCUAAGAGAGUGGGUCACCUGACUCAAUCCACAACGCUUGACCACAUGUAUCAAAUCUGCAUAAUCUACUGAAAUCUCUAAAUGCAAUGAAACUGUAAAUGCAUUUUGAUGUUUCCUGGAAAUGUGAGCUAUAAACGCUUCAUUUCCUAUUGGGCUGACAUAGAGUCUCAAAGCUGGCUUUUAUUCAUCCCGCCCCAACCUGAUAGAGGCCCUGUUUCUGUCUGAGCCCCUCUGAACAUGGCUCUUCCUGGUGUUGAACAUACUUGAACAACUGUGCCCCUUAAAUGUGCCUUUAUGUUUACAGACUCUUAGAGGAUGUCGAAAACCUCACUUUUGCUCUCUGUUAAUGCUUACAAUAGUUACUAGAGUUCUUCCUAAGGAUUAAUAAAGGCAAUUAUCUAUUAAUUUCAAAGCAGUUUACUUAAAAAAGUUAUUAGCUUUCAUUUAUUUAUCUAUUAA